AACGAACGCUGGCGGCAGGCUUAACACAUGCAAGUCGAACGCCCCGCAAGGGGAGUGGCAGACGGGUGAGUAACGCGUGGGAACGUGCCCUUCGCUUCGGAAUAGCCCCGGGAAACUGGGAGUAAUACCGAAUACGCCGUAUUGGGAAAGAUUUAUCGGCGAAGGAUCGGCCCGCGUUAGAUUAGCUAGUUGGCGGGGUAAUGGACCACCAAGGCUAUGAUCUAUAGCUGGUCUGAGAGGAUGAUCAGCCACACUGGGACUGAGACACGGCCCAGACUCCUACGGGAGGCAGCGGUGGAGAAUCUUGGACAAUUGGCGCAAGCCUGAUCCAGCCAUGCCGCGUGAGUGAAGAAGGCCUUAGGGUUGUAAAACUCUUUCGCCGGAGAAGAUAAUGACGGUAUCCGGAGAAGAAGCCCCGGCUAACUCCGUGCCAGCCGCCGCCGUAAUAC
rnacentral:rRNA from 1 species